UUACGACCAAAUCAUGUUGAAACACCAGUUCUCAUACAAUCACCGAAGUUAAGCAACGUUGAGUCUGGUUAGUACCUAAGAUGGCUGACCGUUUAGGAAUACCAAGUGCUA